CGGGGAGGUCAUAAUACUAUUUUUUAAAAAUCUAUAAACUGUGAAGCACAAAACUAGUCAUAUAUGGUAUUUUUUGAAAGCGUAGAACCUCUGCUUUCUUGCAAGUCCCAUGGUAUUUGCAUUAAUUUUACAUAAAAGAAAAUAAUAAGGUAUAAAUUCGUUCUUCCACAACCACCCCCCCUUGAGAAAAUCAGAUGAAUAAUGUUCAUAUUUCAUAUUUAUAGCACACAAACUCACCAAACAUGGACAAGUCACACAUCAAAUGAAAGCUCUCACUCUCAGGAAUGUCACUGUGUACUUUAUUUCACCGAUCUUAUACAUUACAGUGACAUAACAAAUAAUAAUUUUCAAAAGAAUCACAAAAACUGAAAUUACUUAUGUGAACAAGCAAACGUAUGCGUCAUAUUUCUGCGCUGAUAACUACAUCUGUGCUCACAUACUAGCCUAAAAUCCUAUAUCAGCUUUUAGAUUAGGUUGUUUUCUUCAAAAUGAGAGCAUUCUCGUGUGUCUGUGAGCAUGCAUGGCUAAACGGCACUAUAAUAUGUCUCAGAUGCGCAGAUCAAAACAUGCAAAGCAGCGUAAAACAUGACCAGUAUUUGUAUUGACUCUCUUUGAUUCCUUUCGACUUGCAAUGACGUCAUCACGCAGUGCGUCCUAUGUCAUGAAAGCUGACAGCCUCCCCUCUCCAUAGACACAUCGAUCAAGCUUCUAGACCAUUCAGAGCCCGAGUUGUUCCUUUCCAAAGUUGAGGAGGUGGGACUAAAGAAAACGGCGCAAGCGGGCGCAGAUGAUUAUUGAUGAGUUGAUCGGAAGUUUGUUUUGUGAUUUUGGAUAGCGUUUUAGCGAAUUAUUGCGUGCUUUUAUUACUGUUAGAGUUAUAUGUCUCUGAAAAAUGACUUCAAGAAAGUUUUUUGUUGGUUUGGAGGCGGCUUUGGAGGAGUUUGAUCGGAUGUCCGACACUGAAACUUGCAGCGAGGCUAGCUAGCUUUGACUCGGUCAGAGAAGCUGCUUACAAACUGGGAGAAGACCCUGAUUUUGAUUGUAGCAUCCAGUGGUGAAGAAUGGGAGCCAGCAAGUCAGGAUACUUAUUUUGUGUGUGUGUGUGUGUAAAAUAAAAUGCAAGAACAGAA